rnacentral:rRNA from 1 species
GACGAACGCUGGCGGCGUGCCUAAUACAUGCAAGUAGAACGCUGAAGGAGGAGCUUGCUUCCCUGGAUGAGUUGCGAACGGGUGAGUAACGCGUAGGUAACCUGCCUGGUAGCGGGGGAUAACUAUUGGAAACGCUAGCUAAUUCCGCAUAAGAGUAGAUGUUGCAUGACAUUUGCUUAAAAGGUGCAAUUGCAUCACUACCAGUUGGACCUGCGUUGAAUUAGUUAGUUGGUGGGGUAACGGCUUACCAAGGCAACGAUGCGUCGCCGCCCUGAGAGGGGGAUCGGCGAAACUGGAACUGAGACACGGUCCAGCUUCCUACGGGAGGCAGCAGUAGGGAAGCUUCCGCAAUGGGCGAAAGCAUGACGGAGCAACGCCGCGUGAGUGAUGAAGGUGUUCGGAUCGUAAAACUCUGUUAUUAGGGAAGAACAAAUGUGUAAGUAACUAUGCACGCCUUGACGGUACCUAAUCAGAAAGCCACGGCUAACUACGUG